GGUUAAGCGACUAAGCGUACACGGUGGAUGCCCUGGCAGUCAGAGGCGAUGAAGGACGUGCUAAUCUGCGAAAAGCGCCGGCGAGGUGAUAUGAACCUUUGACCCGGCGAUGUCCGAAUGGGGAAACCCAGUGUGAUUCGUCACACUAUCGUUAACUGAAUACAUAGGUUAACGAGGCGAACCGGGGGAACUGAAACAUCUAAGUACCCCGAGGAAAAGAAAUCAACCGAGAUUCCCCCAGUAGCGGCGAGCGAACGGGGAGCAGCCCGGAGUCUGAAUCAGCUUGUGUGUUAGUGGAACGGUCUGGAAAGUCCGACGGUACAGGGUGAUAGUCCCGUACACGAAAAUGCACAGGUUGUGAACUCGAAGAGUAGGGCGGGACACGUGGUAUCCUGUCUGAAUAUGGGGGGACCAUCCUCCAAGGCUAAAUACUCCUGACUGACCGAUAGUGAACCAGUACCGUGAGGGAAAGGCGAAAAGAACCCCGGCGAGGGGAGUGAAAAAGAACCUGAAACCGUGUACGUACAAGCAGUGGGAGCCUACUUGUUAGAUGACUGCGUACCUUUUGUAUAAUGGGUCAGCGACUUAUAUUCUGUAGCAAGGUUAACCGUAUAGGGGAGCCGAAGGGAAACCGAGUCUUAACUGGGCGUUAAGUUGCAGGGUAUAGACCCGAAACCCGGUGAUCUAGCCAUGGGCAGGUUGAAGGUUGGGUAACACUAACUGGAGGACCGAACCGACUAAUGUUGAAAAAUUAGCGGAUGACCUGUGGCUGGGGGUGAAAGGCCAAUCAAACCGGGAGAUAGCUGGUUCUCCCCGAAAGCUAUUUAGGUAGCGCCUCGUGAAUUCAUCUUCGGGGGUAGAGCACUGUUUCGGCUAGGGGGCCAUCCCGGCUUACCAACCCGAUGCAAACUACGAAUACCGAAGAAUGUUAUCACGGGAGACACACGGCGGGUGCUAACGUCCGUCGUGAAGAGGGAAACAACCCAGACCGCCAGCUAAGGUCCCAAAGUCAUGGUUAAGUGGGAAACGAUGUGGGAAGGCACAGACAGCCAGGAUGUUGGCUUAGAAGCAGCCAUCAUUUAAAGAAAGCGUAAUAGCUCACUGGUCGAGUCGGCCUGCGCGGAAGAUGUAACGGGGCUAAACCAUGCACCGAAGCUGCGGCAGCGACGCUUAUGCGUUGUUGGGUAGGGGAGCGUUCUGUAAGCCGUUGAAGGUGGCCUGUGAGGGUUGCUGGAGGUAUCAGAAGUGCGAAUGCUGACAUAAGUAACGAUAAAGCGGGUGAAAAGCCCGCUCGCCGGAAGACCAAGGGUUCCUGUCCAACGUUAAUCGGGGCAGGGUGAGUCGACCCCUAAGGCGAGGCCGAAAGGCGUAGUCGAUGGGAAACAGGUUAAUAUUCCUGUACUUGGUGUUACUGCGAAGGGGGGACGGAGAAGGCUAUGUUAGCCGGGCGACGGUUGUCCCGGUUUAAGCAUGUAGGCGGAGGUUCCAGGUAAAUCCGGUACCUUUUUAACGCUGAGGUGUGAUGACGAGGCACUACGGUGCUGAAGUAACAAAUGCCCUGCUUCCAGGAAAAGCCUCUAAGCAUCAGGUAACACGAAAUCGUACCCCAAACCGACACAGGUGGUCAGGUAGAGAAUACCAAGGCGCUUGAGAGAACUCGGGUGAAGGAACUAGGCAAAAUGGUGCCGUAACUUCGGGAGAAGGCACGCUGAUAUGUAGGUGAAGCCCCUGCGGGUGGAGCUGAAAUCAGUCGAAGAUACCAGCUGGCUGCAACUGUUUAUUAAAAACACAGCACUGUGCAAACACGAAAGUGGACGUAUACGGUGUGACGCCUGCCCGGUGCCGGAAGGUUAAUUGAUGGGGUUAGCGGUAACGCGAAGCUCUUGAUCGAAGCCCCGGUAAACGGCGGCCGUAACUAUAACGGUCCUAAGGUAGCGAAAUUCCUUGUCGGGUAAGUUCCGACCUGCACGAAUGGCGUAAUGAUGGCCAGGCUGUCUCCACCCGAGACUCAGUGAAAUUGAACUCGCUGUGAAGAUGCAGUGUACCCGCGGCAAGACGGAAAGACCCCGUGAACCUUUACUAUAGCUUGACACUGAACACUGGUCCUUGAUGUGUAGGAUAGGUGGGAGGCUUUGAAGCGUGGACGCCAGUCUGCGUGGAGCCAACCUUGAAAUACCACCCUUUAAUGGCUGGUGUUCUAACGUAGACCCGUGAUCCGGGUUGCGGACAGUGUCUGGUGGGUAGUUUGACUGGGGCGGUCUCCUCCCAAAGAGUAACGGAGGAGCACGAAGGUUAGCUAAUCCUGGUCGGACAUCAGGAGGUUAGUGCAAUGGCAUAAGCUAGCUUGACUGCGAGAGUGACGGCUCGAGCAGGUGCGAAAGCAGGUCAUAGUGAUCCGGUGGUUCUGAAUGGAAGGGCCAUCGCUCAACGGAUAAAAGGUACUCCGGGGAUAACAGGCUGAUACCGCCCAAGAGUUCAUAUCGACGGCGGUGUUUGGCACCUCGAUGUCGGCUCAUCACAUCCUGGGGCUGAAGUAGGUCCCAAGGGUAUGGCUGUUCGCCAUUUAAAGUGGUACGCGAGCUGGGUUUAGAACGUCGUGAGACAGUUCGGUCCCUAUCUGCCGUGGGCGCUGGAGAAUUGAGGGGGGCUGCUCCUAGUACGAGAGGACCGGAGUGGACGCAUCACUGGUGUUCGGGUUGUCAUGCCAAUGGCACUGCCCGGUAGCUAAAUGCGGAAGAGAUAAGUGCUGAAAGCAUCUAAGCACGAAACUUGCCCCGAGAUGAGUUCUCCCUGAGACUUUAAGUCUCCUGAAGGAACGUUGAAGACGACGACGUUGAUAGGUCGGAUGUGUAAGCGCAGCGAUGCGUUGAGCUAACCGAUACUAAUGAACCGUGAGGCUUAACCUU
rnacentral:rRNA from 1 species